rnacentral:rRNA from 1 species
AAUGAACGCUGGCGGCGCGCCUAAUACAUGCAAGUCGAGCGAGAAGACGUAGCAAUACGUUUGUAAAGCGGCGAACGGGUGAGGAAUACAUGGGUAACCUACCCUAGAGUGGGGAAUAACUAGCCGAAAGGUUAGCUAAUACCGCGUACGCUCCUUGGACUUCGGUUCAGGGAGGAAAGCGAUGCCGAGGUAUCGCGCUCUUGGAUGGGCUCAUGUCCUAUCAGCUUGUUGGNGAGGUAACGGCUCACCAAGGCUUCGACGGGUAGCUGGUCUGAGAGGACGAUCAGCCACACUGGCACUGCGACACGGGCCAGACUCCUACGGGAGGCAGCAGUAAGGAAUAUUGCGCAAGUGGGCGAAAGCCUGACGCAGCGACGCCGC